UGAACAGGCACACGGAGACACCUCAGCCCGGAGAGACACCAUCGACAGCCCAGAAGGGACCCCAAGGAGCAGCUGGCAUUGCCUGGAAUGGAGGCACGGGCCGUUUGCAGAGGGGGUCAGACAGCAGCUCCAGUUUCUGACCUCCCAGAACUCCCACACAGCUCCCAGAUAUUGAAUCCCAAGCAAUAUACCUUGGAGAUGCCUCAAAAUCAGAGGUUCAAGCAGGAUGAAGUUUGGAACUUUCCAGGGAGCCAGCUAGAAGUACAGAAGUGACAGAAAACUUUUGCGGUGAGAAGAACAUGAACUCACAGCCACCAAGGCCUGACAGGUUCCUGCAGUGAGAGCUCAGCACACAUCCACAGAGAGAGAGGGGAGAUGUGGGAAUUGGAAAACCAGAAACUUCCAGAGACACCAAAAGAUUUGAUCUGCAGCCUGGGAAGAAGCUUGGAUUGAUGUAAAAAUACAAUACACAGGCAUGAACAGAAAAAUAAUACAUAAAAUAAUUAUGUUUCUAUGGUUGUAAGUAAGAGCACGCCUUGAGUAAGUGAGGAACUGUGAAGGUGAGGUGGUGAAGGGUUUAUAACGUGAGGGUGGGGUUGUAUAGAGUAAAGUAAGAGUUCAGAAUUAUAACAGAAGCAUCUGUGUGCAAGUGAGACAGAAGCCUAUUGAGCAAAAGUGUGCACGGUUAAAUAAAGGUGAGUUAAAUAAAGGUGAUAGCUUAGAAAAGCAAAAUAAACCCUGUGGCAGCUGUCUGCGGGUUAGAAAGUUAUACAUUGCCUUGGAACAAUGAAUUGUGACUACUCUGGAACUGUAGCAAACAACUUACCCUGUAAAGUCUGCUGGCCUCUGAGGCUGAUGUUUGUGUGAGCAAUAAACCCUUCUGACACAGAGAAGGGGUAAGAGCCAGUGCCAUCCCCUGGUUGCUGACAAUGGUGGCUCUGGGCAGGGCUGUCUCUGUGUCUCUGCCUGCAGACAGGUGUGGGGCUAUGUCACAGACAUCUUUUAUGAAAAAUCCUCUCCUUAGGACUUUUCCUCCUCUGAAGCUGAGGCAUCAAACAAAAUGUGAACAGUGGUUAUCUGCUGGUUAUCAACAGGUGCAUCUGUGAUUGGUCUUAUAGAGUUAUUUCUAAUUAAUGGCCAAACACAGUCAGCUGGCUUGGACUCUCUGUCUGAGACACAAGCCUUUGUUAUCAUUCUUUCUCUUUCUAUUCUUACCCAGCCUUCUGAUGAUCUCAUUUCUUCUAUUCUUUUAGUGUAGUUUUAAUGUAAUAUCUAUAAUAAAAUAAUAAAUCAGCCCUGUGAA